rnacentral:lncRNA from 1 species
CCUAACAUGAGAAUCAUAAUAAAAUGACUAAUGAAGACGGUGAUAAUAUGUCUUACGAUACUUACGGCCGGUAAGUAAUUUAAAUCCCUUUUUCGAUUGACCAACAAUGCUAAAAUCGGGACUUAAGUCUAUUCUCUCAGAAUUCUCAGGAGCAGAUAAAAAGUGUUCGUUAUUCGCCAGGUGCUCGUCAGAACUAUCAUCAUUAUCAGUAUGAGAAUUGUAAUGCCUAAAAUCUGUGCUGGAUGCUCGAUGAAGAUGUGGAUUAUACUCACCAAUGCUCCGCAGGGGAGACAAGCUUUGAUCACGAGGUUCCUUAGAAUCAUGAGUUGUGUCAUCUUGGGCAAUCGGCUCCUGAACAGAUGUAGAAUUUGUAACGUUAGGCCGGUUCUCCGAAGGUUUGGUGAUCGGGGACCCCGCAUCUGCAAUCUGCUUAGUGAUGGAAGGCUCAGGUCGAGUAGUAUCUGAGGGUUGUGGAGUAUCUGAUGGUAGAACUUCUGACUUCUUACCAUCUUCUACUCUGGUCUGCCGAUUCCCACUGGGUCGCUGGGGACGGAGCCCCGGAUUGGCCACGUAACACGUCUCAAUGGUAUGGCCAAGGUGCUUGCAGGAAGCACAGAGGCAGCUUGUUUUACCAAUUUUUUCUUCUUAAUUUCCGGCAAAAAAAAAAAUCAAUAAACAGGGGAAUGAAAACAAAGGAACGAAAACAGAGGAAGCUUGCUUUUCAGGCUAUCUUGUGACAUGAUGAUAUUGCUCGUGAAUGCAUGAAAAUUUCUAAUGCAAACAGUUCAAUUUCGGAUGAUAAGCUUAAGUUUGCAAGUGAUGCAAGUAAAUAACUUUUUGCGGUUAAUUGAAUCUUUAAUACUCUGGGCCCUAUUCUAAAAUUUGUAGGUUGCUUCAGAAAAAAAAGGCAUUUCUCACUCAUCUUUAAUCUGCAAGUAAAAUUAGAUACAAAGCAAAUCUAAUAAAAUAACAAACAAACAAACAAAACAAAGAAAAGACUGGAGGCAAACAACAUUGAUCUUAAGCCAACUGAUAUUUAAACUGAGAAUUCUUUUUUUUUUUUAACCUUUUGCUCAAGGAUUAGAGUUUUUAUAUUAACAGAAAGAUUUCAGGGGUCUGAAUAAAAGCCCACAAUUUCUCUAUUUUAUUUUUAUUUUUAUUUUUUGAAAGGAGCUUCACUAUUGGCCUUGAACAUAUAAGAAUGAGCAAAAGAUCAAUGUCAACUGCCGAGGAAUGUGAGUAAAGAUUUCAUCAGAGUAAGUAAUAAAAAUGAAUUGUAAAAGAACAAGACUUAAGCGUGCACCCCGUGUUUUGUUUUAUUCGUUAUGAAAAAGAUAUUGUACCCAAUUUUAAGAGAGCAUAAUAAUAACCAUUCAAUGCAUAAAUUUAGAAUUAGUUUUUUUGUAAUUCUUUAUUUAAAUAUAAACUUCAAUGGAAAAUUAUAAAAAUUUAGAUAUAAAAUUUUAAAUCACCAGACAAAAAAAAAAAAAUGUUUUGAUGAUUGUAACUCGUGACUGCGGGAAAAUUUCUAAUGGAAACAACUCAAUUUCGGAAGAUAAGCUUAAUUACGCAAGUGAUGAAUUUGUUCAAUUGACUCUGUACUUGAACUAGUUUUUUUUUUUUUUUUUGGGGGGGGUUAGGCGGGAGCCCUACCUGUCAUUUACAAAAGAUAAUGAAAGAUACAAGGAGAGGGACAAAAACCAAAACCUCCAAUCAAGAGAAAAAAAUAUAAUAGAAAAAGAAAAGAUUAAGGCAUAGCCUAACAUGAGAAUCAUAAUAAAAUGACUAAUGAAGACGGUGAUAAUAUGUCUUACGAUACUUACGGCCGUUAAGUAAUUUAAAUCCCUUUUUCGAUUGACCAACAAUGCUAAAAUCGAGACUUAAGUCUAUUCUCUCAGAAUUCUCAGGAGCAGAUAAAAAGUGUUCAUUAUUCACCAGGUGCUCGUCAGAACUAUCAUCAUUAUCAGUAUGAGAAUUGUAAUGCCUAAAAUCUGUGCUGGAUGCUCGAUGAAGAUGUGGAUUAUACUCACCAAUGCUCCGCAGGGGAGACAAGCUUUGAUCACGAGGUUCCUUAGAAUCAUGAGUUGUGUCAUCUUGGGCAAUCGGCUCCUGAACAGAUGUAGAAUUUGUAACGUUAGGCCGGUUCUCCGAAGGUUUGGUGAUCGGGGACCCCAGAGCAGAUAAAAAGUGUUCGUUAUUCGCCAGGUGCUCGUCAGAACUAUCAUCAUUAUCAGUAUGAGAAUUGUAAUGCCUAAAAUCUGUGCUGGAUGCUCGAUGAAGAUGUGGAUUAUACUCACCAAUGCUCCGCAGGGGAGACAAGCUUUGAUCACGAGGUUCCUUAGAAUCAUGAGUUGUGUCAUCUUGGGCAAUCGGCUCCUGAACGGAUGUAGAAUUUGUAACGUUAGGCCGGUUCUCCGAAGGUUUAGUGAUCGGGGACCCCGCGUCUACAAUCUGCUUAGUGAUGGAAAGCUCAGGUC